UGCGUGGCCGUCCGGGCUGCUGGGGACAGGGCGGGGGCCGGUGUCACCUCUUUGCCUUGUCAUCCCCUCACGCUGCCCGGUCAUUGAGCGGGCCGCCGGCCCCAUGAAGAUCUGGACUUCCGAGCAUGUCUUUGAUCACCCGUGGGAAACUGUCACAACAGCUGCAAUGCAAAAGUACCCAAACCCUAUGAACCCAAGCGUAGUUGGAGUUGAUGUGCUGGACAUAUAUUUAGAUUCCUCUGGAAAGUUGCACAGCCAUAGGCUUCUCAGCACAGAGUGGGGACUGCCUUCCAUCGUGAAGUCUCUCAUUGGUGCAGCAAGAACCAAAACGUAUGUGCAAGAACAUUUUGUAGUUGAUCCUCUAGACAAAACAAUGGAACUUAAAUCUACUAAUAUUUCAUUUACAAAUAUGGUUUCAGUAGAAGAGAGACUUAUCUACAAAUCACAUCCUCAGGACCCAGAAAAAACUACUUUGACUCAAGAAGCCAUAAUCACUGUGAAAGGAGUCAGCCUUAGUAGUUACCUUGAAGGACUCAUGGCAUGUACAAUAUCUUAAAAUGCCAAUAAAGGCCGAGAAGCAAUGGAAUGGGUAGUACAUAAAUUAAAUGCUGAGAUUGAAGAAUUGACAGCUUCAGUAAGAGGAAGCAUAAGGACUCCAAUGGCGGCAGCAGCAUUUGUAGAGAAAUGAUCAUGGAAAUCGGUAGACAACCUUGGGUGCCCAGGUCUCUCCAAGUUGGCAAUAUAUUUAUUUGUUAUUUAAAAAAUACAACUCUAUUUUAGGUAUGAGAG